rnacentral:lncRNA from 1 species
AUUUGGUUAGGUCUGUCAAAACUCUAUACAAAAUUGCAUAGGUAGUUCCCCUUCUAAAAUAUUGAAUAAUUUCAGACAUUGAGAUAUGUUUUCAGUUUGAGACAAAUAUUGACAAACAAAUUCGUCCACAUGAAAUUAUAAUUUGUCUAUCCCUUGUAAAAAGCAUAGUUCAGUUCAUUUAGCAGACAACUUUAAUAUUUUUUAUUUUUGACUAUUCCAAUCGUUUUGGAAUCGUUUGAGCAAAUUUAGAAAUUGCUCUCAUAAUUUGGGAAAUAAUAGUUUACUCAAAAUUAAUAAAUAAAAAUUGAGCGUUGAGUUAGCAGACAUAAUGUUAAAAAUCAUUUUCUUGUACGUCAAUCGACUCGAAAUUAUUUGGGAAACACGCCGGUAAAAUUUCAGAGUUUGGGAAAUAAUAAUUUCGUCGUAAUUAAUAAAAUAAAGUUAGCAUUUAAAAAUUCCCUAAGAAGUUCCGCGGAUGUUCAGUUAGCAGACAUAACGUCAAAAAUCAUUUUUUCUUACAUCAAUCGAUUCGAAAUCAUUUGGGAAACACGUCCGUAAAAUUUCAGAGUUUAGGAAAUAAUAAUUUCGUUGUAAUAACGAAAUAAAUCUUACGGGCAAUGUUGGUAUAACGUUUGUAUUCGGUGUCAUCUGCCAUUCGGUGCGUGGUUCGUUUAUCGCUAUUUUAUCAGCAUUGCCAAAAAAGUCUUCCUUUAUCAUAUGGCAUUUAAAAAAUUGGACGAAAGAAAAUGUGAGAGACCAAAAUGAAUGCAGAGAGACUGCCACCAUUGGAAUCUUUGACUACUGUGGAGGAAACAGUGAUCCGACAGAGCUGUGGAGAGAGAGAGAGAGAGAGA